AAGUCGUAACAAGGUUUCCGUAGGUGAACCUGCGGAAGGAUCAUUAUUGAAUAAACUUGGUUGAGUUGUUGCUGGCUUUUCGAAGCAUGUGCACGCUCAAUCCAUUUUUAUAACCACCUGUGCACCCCAUGUAGAUCUGAGAAACUCGAGGAAACUCGGUUUGAGAAUUGCGAUGCGAAAGCAAGCUAUUCUUUAUCCUCGGAUCUAUGUUUUCAAUAUACCCCAUAGAAAGUAUUUGAAUGUCGUAAUGGGCCUUCGUGCCUUUAAAACCUAAUACAACUUUCAACAACGGAUCUCUUGGCUCUC
rnacentral:misc_RNA from 1 species